AGAAUGAACGCUUGUGGCGGGUCUCGCACAUGCCAGUCGAGCGGAUGACGGGAGCUUGCUCCUUGAUUCAGCGGCGGACGGGUGAGUAAUGCCUAGGAAUCUGCCUGGUAGUGGGGGACAACGUUUCGAAAGGAACGCUAAUACCGCAUACGUCCUACGGGAGAAAGCAGGGGACCUUCGGGCCUUGCGCUAUCAGAUGAGCCUAGGUCGGAUUAGCUUGUUGGUGAGGUAAUGGCUCACCAAGGCGACGAUCCGUAACUGGUCUGAGAGGAUGAUCAGUCACACUGGAACUGAGACACGGUCCAGACUCCUACGGGAGGCAGCAGUGGGGAAUAUUGGACAAUGGGCGAAAGCCUGAUCCAGCCAUGCCGCGUGUGUGAAGAAGGUCUUCGGAUUGUAAAGCACUUUAAGUUGGGAGGAAGGGCAGUAAGUUAAUACCUUGCUGUUUUGACGUUACCGACAGAAUAAGCACCGGCUAACUCUGUGCCAGCAGCCGCGGUAAUACAGAGGGUGCAAGCGUUAAUCGGAAUUACUGGGCGUAAAGCGCGCGUAGGUGGUUUGGUUAGUUGGAUGUGAAAGCCCCGGGCUUCAACUGGGAACUGCAUCCAAAACUGGCAAGCUAGAGUACGGUAGAGGGUGGUGGAAAUUCCCUGUGUAGCGGGGAAAUGCGUANAUAUAGGAAGGAACACCGUUGGCGAAAGCGACCACCUUGGACGGAUAUUGACACUGAGGUGCGAAAGCCGUGGGGAGCCAACCUGGAUUAGAUAU
rnacentral:rRNA from 1 species